UACAGAGGGUGCGAGCGUUGUCCGGAAUCACUGGGCGUAAAGGGCGCGUAGGCGGUCUCUUAAGCGUGUGGUGAAAUCCCGAGGCUCAACCUCGGAACUGCGUCUGAAACUACUCGGCUAGAGUACUGGAGAGGGUAACGGAAUUCACGGUGUAGCAGUGAAAUGCGUAGAUAUCGUGAGGAACACCAGAGGCGAAGGCGGUUACCUGGACAGUUACUGACGCUCAGGCACGAAAGCAUGGGGAGCAAAAGGG
rnacentral:rRNA from 1 species